rnacentral:lncRNA from 1 species
CUUCCUCAAUAAUUCUGUCAGGAAGAGUGUUGAGCUAGAAAAUAAUAUGCAAUUGUGCCAUUUUUGAAAGAUCAGCUCUGGAAACGGCCAACUGGCAAUGAAGAGAAACUAAUGCUGGGAAGGACAGAGUACAUAAAGGACUAUUACCUUGACUAGGAGACACAGGCAUCACUACUUCCUAUUGAUCUCAGGAUGUGGAAUCCUCAUACACAUUUUGAACAAAAUCCUCUGUUUCAACAAUUAUUUUCAGAAUUGCCUAAGGGAAAAUUGCUACCUUGGCAGCACAAAGAGUGUACACUUUUAUUCAAGACCAGAAAAGCUGAAAUUCUUUUUGUUAUAUACCAUCCGUAUCUUGGUGAGUAUCUUAGAGUGGAGGUGGUAGAUUCAUGGUAUUUGGGCUUUCAUUUCCCACCUUCAUACCCAUUGGAGACAUCAUUAUUCAGCUAUUCCCAAAUAGUAAGGCAAAAGAUUGUUAUUCUUUUUAACAUAAUCUUUCAAGCAACUGUUUUCUCUCUAGCAAUAUAA